GGCGGUGUAGCUCAGUAGGCUAGAGCGUACGGUUCAUACCCGUAAGGUCAGGGGUUCGAGGCCCUUCACCGCUA
rnacentral:tRNA from 1 species